rnacentral:rRNA from 1 species
UGGGUAGCUUCCCGGAAACGAAAGUCUUCCGGUUCCGGGGGAAGUAUGGUUGCAAAGCUGAAACUUAAAGGAAUUGACGGAAGGGCACCACCAGGAGUGGAGCCUGCGGCUUAAUUUGACUCAACACGGGGAAACUCACCCGGCCCGGACACCGUAAGGAUUGACAGAUUGAUAGCUCUUUCAUGAUUCGGUGGUUGGUGGUGCAUGGCCGUUCUUAGUUCGUGGAUCGAUUUGUCUGGUUUAUUCCGAUAACGAGCGAGACUCUAGCCUACUAAAUAGUAACGAGAUUAUCAAUGUCUCAGUUGCUUCUUAGAGGGAUUUUCGGUGUUUAGCCGCACGAGAUUGAGCAAUAACAGGUCUGUGAUGCCCUUAGAUGUCCGGGGCUGCACGCGCGCUACACUGGCGAAAUCAGCGUGCUGUAUCCAUUCUCGAAAGGGAUUGGUAAACCCAUGAAAAUUUGCCGUGCUUGGGACCGGAAAUUGCAAUUAUUUUCCGUGAACGAGGAAUUCCAAGUAAGUGCGAGUCAUCAACUCGCUCUG